ACCUACGGGAGGCAGCAGUGGGGAAUAUUGCACAAUGGGGGAAACCCUGAUGCAGCGACGCCACGUGAAGGAAGAAGUAUUUCGGUAUGUAAACUUCUAUCAGCAGGGAAGAAAAUGACGGUACCUGACUAAGAAGCCCCGGCUAACUACGUGCCAGCAGCCGCGGUAAUACGUAGGGGGCAAGCGUUAUCCGGAUUUACUGGGUGUAAAGGGAGCGUAGGCGGCGAUGCAAGUCAGCAGUGAAAGCCCGGGGCUCCACUCCGGGACUGCUUUUGAAACUGGGUUGCUAGAUUGCGGGGGAGGUA
rnacentral:rRNA from 1 species